GACGAACGCUGGCGGCGUGCUUAACACAUGCAAGUCGAACGGAAAGGCCCUGCUUUUGUGGGGUGCUCGAGUGGCGAACGGGUGAGUAACACGUGAGUAACCUGCCCUUGACUUUGGGAUAACUUCAGGAAACUGGGGCUAAUACCGGAUAGGAGCUCCUGCUGCAUGGUGGGGGUUGGAAAGUUUCGGCGGUUGGGGCUGGACUCGCGGCUUCUCAGCUUGUUGGUGGGGUAGUGGCUUACCAAGGCUUUGACGGGUAGCCGGCCUGAGAGGGUGGCCGGCCACAUUGGGACUGAGAGACGGCCCAGACUCCUACGGGAGGCAGCAGGGGGGAAUAUUGCACAAUGGGCGGAAGCCUGAUGCAGCAACGCCGCGUGCGGGAUGACGGCCUUCGGGUUGUAAACCGCUUUCGCCUGUGACGAAGCGUGAGUGACGGUAAUGGGUAAAGAAGCACCGGCUAACUACGUG
rnacentral:rRNA from 1 species